CGGCAACAGCUCAAAUUUGAAAUCUGGCCCCUAGGGUCCGAGUUGUAAUUUGCAGAGGAUGCUUUUGACAAGGUGCCUUCCGAGUUCCCUGGAACGGGACGCCAUAGAGGGUGAGAGCCCCGUCUGGUCGGAUACCGCGUCUCUGUAAAGCUCCUUCGAC
rnacentral:rRNA from 1 species